UUUUCAUGCUUUUUCUUUUGUUUUAUGGUUUAGAGAAUAUGCUGUACAUGUUUAUUUUAAAGAAGAAUUGGCAGAAAUAUUUUGCCAUUGAGAAGAGCCUCCUAGUCCUGCACUGUCUAAUAUGGUAGCCACUAGUCACUAUGGCAGUUUGCAUUUAAAUGAAUUAAAUUUAAUUUAAAAUUGAGCUCCUCACUGAUGACACUUCAAGCACUUUAGAAGCCACAGUGGUUGGUUGCCGCCCCACUGGACAGCUUGGACAUUCCCAGCAGCCAAGAAAGUGGUACUGGUCAGAGCCAGAUAGCUAAUAGCUUCAGUUCAUUUCUGUUAAAUCUGAGACUAUAGCUUCAGUUCAUUUCUGUUAAAUCUGAGACUAUGUGUCCACUCCCUGGAGUCCUUUAGUUACAGGGAGAAAAUGUUGCCAUUUGUGGAGAAGGAGAGAAAAGGUGUUUUUAAAACUACUUUUGGAAAAACAAACAUUUUGACAUGGCCAGUCUCAGACUUAAAAUUUCAAAAUCACACCAGAAUUUUAAAACAUUUUUGAAAUAGGACAAAUCCUGAAUCUAGAAGCUCAGAUUCUUGGAGGAUAGGUGCCUUAAAAGGAAAACUAUUGCUAAUGCGUAGUGUUUAUUCUUUUCAUAGUUCUGUGAAAUGUUGAUAAUUGUUGACUUGCUGCUGUGACGUGGUUCAGCUAUUUUGAUUUUCGUGUUAUCUCCGUAAAUAAAAAAUCUAUUUUACCCUCCAAUCUCUACUCCCCUUCAGAAAGAAAGAGUACUUGCACUUAGGUGUAUAUUCUUUGACCUUAAAGGAUUAAAGCAAAAAUAACACAUUAACUUACAGACCUUUUAUUUAUUUAUUUUUUUAAUUUGAAAUUGAUACUAAUAGAACUUUGAGAAUUGUAUUGGUGGCUACCAUUCCUUUGCUGAUUGCUUUUGUAGUACAGGUUCAAUUUUAAUAGUUUGUGCAAGGUAUUGUUUUCUUUUCAUACAAAUUUAUUGAACAGAAAAAGUAA